rnacentral:rRNA from 1 species
UUUGAACCGUGUUGAAACUGACGAAGCUGAAAUGGGUGAUAUCAUCGCCUUUGCAGGUAUCGAUGAUAUCAAUAUCGGUGAAACAGUAGCGGAUGCUGAAAAUCCUGAAGCAUUGCCAUCCAUUUCCAUCGACGAACCGACAUUGUCCAUGGUGUUCUCCGUAAAUAACUCUCCAUUCGCAGGCCGCGAAGGUGAAUUUGUUACAUCCCGUCACUUGCGUGAUCGUUUGUUCCGCGAAGUAGAAACUAACGUAUCCAUGAAAGUGGAAGAAACUGAUUCUGCAGAUGCGUUCAAAGUAUCCGGCCGUGGCGAAUUGCAUUUGGCUGUAUUGAUUGAAACUAUGCGUCGUGAAGGCUAUGAAUUACAAGUGGGAAAACCUCGUGUAAUUUUCAGAACUAUUAACGAUCAAUUGUGUGAACCGCUCGAAGCGUUGACCAUCGAUGUACCUCAGGAGUUUAUGGGGACUGUAAUGGAAAAUCUUGCUUAGUGAUCCGGUGGUAUAAAGUGGGAUUGCCAUCGCUCAACGGAUAAAAGCUACCCUGGGGAUAACAGGCUUAUCACUCCCAAGAGUUCACAUCGACGGAGUGGUUUGGCACCUCGAUGUCGGCUCAUCGCAUCCUGGGGCUGAAGUAGGUCCCAAGGGUUGGGCUGUUCGCCCAUUAAAGCGGUACGCGAGCUGGGUUCAGAACGUCGUGAGACAGUUCGGUCCCUAUCCGGCGUGGGCGUAGGAUAUUUGAGAGGAGCUGCCCUUAGUACGAGAGGACCGGGGUGGACUGGCCGCUGGUGGAUCUGUUGUAUUACCAAAUGCAUAGCAGAGUAGCCAAGCCGGGACGGGAUAAACGCUGAAGGCAUCUAAGCGUGAAGCCCCCCUCAAGAUGAGAUAUCCCAUAACGUCAAGUUAGUAAGACCCCUUGAAGACGACGAGGUAGAUAGGGCAGAGGUGGAAGUGCGGUAACGCAUGGAGCUGACUGUUACUAAUAGGUCGAGGGCAUAACCAA